CAGAGUUUGAUCCGGCUCAGGAUGAACGCUAGCGACAGGCCUAACACAUGCAAGUCGAGGGGCAGCGGAGAGGUAGCAAUACCUUUGCCGGCGACCGGCGCACGGGUGAGUAACACGUAUGCAACCCACCUGUAACAGGGGGAUAACCCGGAGAAAUCCGGACUAAUACCCCAUAAUAUGGGCGCCUCCGCAGUGGAGACGCCUAAUUAAAGAGAGACUAAGUUUUGGUUACAGACGAGCAUGCG
rnacentral:rRNA from 1 species